rnacentral:rRNA from 1 species
ACCCGACUGCUAUCAGAGUGAGAUUAAGCCAUGCGAGUCAACGUAGCAAUACGUGGCACACGGCUCAGUAACACGUAGUCAACAUAACCAAAGGACGUGGAUAAACUCGGGAAACUGAGGAUAAACCGCGAUAGGCCAAGGUUUCUGGAAUGAGCCAUGACUAAAUCUAUAUGGCCUUUGGAUUGGACUGCGGCCGAUCAGGCUGUUGGUGAGGUAAUGGCCCACCAAACCUGUUACCGGUACGGGCUUUGAGAGAAGGAGCCCGGAGAUGGGCACUGAGACAAGGGCCCAGGCCCUAUGGGGCGCAGCAGGCGCGAAACCUCUGCAAUAGGCGAAAGCCUGACAGGGUUACUCUGAGUGAUGCCCGCUAAGGGUAUCUUUUGGCACCUCUAAAAAUGGUGCAGAAUAAGGGGUGGGCAAGUCUGGUGUCAGCCGCCGCGGUAAUACCAGCACCCCGAGUGGUCGGGACGAUUAUUGGGCCUAAAGCAUCCGUAGCCGGUUCUGCAAGUCCUCCGUUAAAUCCACCUGCUCAACAGAUGGGCUGCGGAGGAUACCGCAGAGCUAGGAGGCGGGAGAGGCAAACGGUACUCGGUGGGUAGGGGUAAAAUCCAUUGAUCCACCGAAGACCACCAGUGGCGAAGGCGGUUUGCCAGAACGCGCUCGACGGUGAGGGAUGAAAGCUGGGGGAGCAAACCGGAUUAGAUACCCGGGUAGUCCCAGCUGUAAACGAUGCAGACUCGGUGAUGGGUUGGCUUCGAGCCAACCCAGUGCCGCAGGGAAGCCGUUAAGUCUGCCGCCUGGGGAGUACGGUCGCAAGACUGAAACUUAAAGGAAUUGGCGGGGGAGCACCACAAGGGGUGAAGCCUGCGGUUCAAUUGGACUCAACGCCGGAA